rnacentral:tRNA from 1 species
GUCCAGGGAUGGGAAUCGAACCCACAGUGUUCUGCUUACUGGGCAGAUGCCAUGUCCACUAGGCUACCCUGGGA